CAGGAAAAUGCCUGAUUCACAGAAGGUACUUGUAUGAUUGAAUGAAGCAAUCCCAUCAUGAGAAUUCUGCUCAAGCAAGAAAAACGGCAUAGCUAGUGCCCUACAAGAAACUCCUGGGGCCAAGUUUUAAAAUUGUUUUGGGGAAGCCACACUGUUACAACCCAUUCCUUGUCCCUAUGAUGUGGAACAUAGGUAUUUGGCCAGUCACUGUGUGUUCUUCCUGGAACUCAUGGAGGCCAGCAGAAAGGACCCAUAUUUUCCUCGAAGAAGAUCUCUGAAACUCCUUGAGUCCUUAGGCAGGCACUUGGCUGAACCCCAGAAGUCUGUGCCACCUAGCACAGUGAAGGUGAUCUGGGACAACUCCGUGACAUAUCUGCUUCCUGAGGGCAGGAAUCUACAGCCUAUUCACAGUGCUAAUUACAUAUUGUUAUAAACAACGUAUUGCCAGGCAUGCAAUGCUCAACAUGUGGUUGUUGAACUAAAACAAAAUCAAAAGUAGAAGUUAGUACAGUAUAGGAAUUACCACAUUGAAUGUUCAAGUAACUCGAUUGUUUUAGUCACUAGGUUACCAAGAUUAACACUCACAGAUCCUACCCGCAAGGAAUUUACAAUACUUUUUGGGAGGCUAGCGUUAAUCACGACCAGAUGCUGGAGAAGAACAGAAGAAAGUAAUUGAUUUUGCCUCAGCAGAUUGGGGAAGUCUUUAUACUCUUAAAUGAGAUAACAUCUGAGUUGUAUCUUUGAGAAUGAGAAGAAAUCAAUCAGGCAGAGAAGAUGGAAAGGUAUUUCGUACUGUUUCAGGUAUUGUCACAUCACAAAACACCCCCAAACUCAGCUGGGAACAACGAUAAUGGUUGAUUUUGCUCAUGAAUCUGAAAUUUGAACAAGGCUUGACAGGGACAGCUUAUUUCGAUUCAAUGUGGCUUCAGCUGGGUGGCUCAGUGAUCUGUUGGCUAUGUGUUGGUUGGUAGAUCAAUCAGGGCUGCCAGCUGACGUCCUUUCAACACAACUGCUUGGGCUUUCUCACAGCAUGGCCGCUGCGCUUCAAAAGCCUGUGUUCCUAGAGACAGGAAGCGGAAGUCUUUUAAGUCCUGAGCCUAGAGACUGGCACGGAAGCACUUUUGUUGCCUGCCAAAGUUCAAGGAGAGGGGAAGUAGACUCCCAGAAAUUUUGUAUCCCUUCUUAAUCCACCACAUCUACAUAUAACCUAUUACCAUCUACGACAUACUAAAUGCACUAUUUGGUAACAUAGACAAACCAAUUAUGACAAAGGAAUAGAAGGUGAAAAUCUGGGGAAUGGGGGAUGAUGUUAGAACAGGGGCAUUGGAGCAGAUGGCAGAGAGGUUCUUGUACUGUACUUUUGAGUUUUACAAUCUUCUACCCCCAGAAUUGGCCUGAUCAUUUCUGUAUUUAGGAAGAUCAGUUGGGUAGUCGUAUGAAGGCCUAACUAGAAGUAAGUGGCAUUGCAAACAGCAUAACUGAGCAGAAACUCUUGUAAUAGUUUAUGAGAAAGUUGAUGAACUCAGACACAGUGGGAGGAGAGAACUAGAAAAAGAGCUGUAUAUCAGCGAAUUUUCAGUUACAGAUUUAGAAGAAACUGGUUCCUAAAUGGAUGUAUGAUUAAGAGAUAAUGAAUCAGGGUGGCCUUCAAGUUUCUAGCUUGAAAAGUGGGAGAAAAUAUAGAACACAAAAAGAGAAUCACAUUUGGGGAAAGAGAGAGAAGUUGGUGGGUUUAAUUUUUCAGGACAUGCUUGAUUUGAGGUACAUCUGGCCUUACUAGGCUGAGAAGUUUGAUAAGCAAGUGAUUGUAAAAAUAAAGAACUUAAAAGGUAGGUUAGGUGUGAAACAUCUAAAUUUGUAGGUAUAAAGCUUGAGGUGCUAGUUGAAACUAGAGGAAUACAUGAGAUUAAAAAAAAAAAACCCACUAUUUUUUGAAAAAAGAAGAAACCUGAAGGCAGAGUCUGGAGGACAGAAUCAAGUGAAAGUAUAAUAAGACCGAAAGAAAUGGAAAGUCAGUAGAGGUAGAGUAAAUGCCUUCUUGAUCCCACAAAUCAGAAUGAGCAAAUAUCCUCAGAUCUGUGUGACAAAACAAGUUGGGAAACAUUAUUUCCCAAACUGACUUUUAUGCUCCAUAUAUUUUGUCCAAGGAUACACAAAUGAGAAGGUAGGUGUAUAAACUGUCUUAUAUUUCCCAACAAUGUACAUUUGUAGCUGUUUUACAGAAGGUGGUGCUCACUGGUUGGAAACAUAGAAGCUUUCUUUUUCUUUUUAUUUCUUUCUCUUUUUUUGAGAGAGCAAGCGAGCAUGCAAGCAGGGGUGUGGAGGGACAAAAGGAG